UACAGAGGGUGCUAGCGUUGUUCGGAAUCAUUGGGCGUAAAGGGCGUGUAGGCGGUUUGUUAAGUCAUGUGUGAAAUCCCUCGGCUCAACCGGGGAACGACGCAUGAAACUGGCAAGCUAGAGUACCAAAGAGGGGGGUGGAAUUCCCGGUGUAGCGGUGAAAUUCGUAGAUAUUGGGAAGAACACCGGUGGCGAAGGCGGCUCACUGGCUCAUUUCUGACGCUCAGGCGCGACAGCGUGGGGAUCAAACAGG
rnacentral:rRNA from 1 species